CAGUAGCUGUUNUGAGAGGAAGAUCANCCACACUGGGACUGAGACACGGCCCAGACUCCUACGGGAGGCAGCAGUGGGGAAUUUUCCCGCAAUGGGCGAAAGCCUGACGGAGCAAUACCGCGUGAGGGAAGAAGGCUUUUGGGUUGUAAACCUCUUUUGUCAGGGAAGAAGAAUUGACGGUACCUGAAGAAAAAGCAUCGGCUAACUCCGUGCCAGCAGCCGCGGUAAUACGGAGGAUGCAAGCGUUAUCCGGAAUAAUUGGGCGUAAAGGGUCCGCAGGUGGCGAAUAAAGUCUGCUGUUAAAGACCGGGGCUUAACUCCGGAAAGGCAGUGGAAACUGAUUAGCUAGAGUACGGUAGGGGUAGAGGGAAUUCCCAGUGUAGCGGUGAAAUGCGUAGAUAUUGGGAAGAACACCGGUGGCGAAAGCGCUCUACUAGGCCGAAACUGACACUGAGGGACGAAAGCUAGGGUAGCGAAAGGGAUUAGAUACCCCUGNNGUCUU
rnacentral:rRNA from 1 species